GCAAAUUAAAAAGGGAUAAACACCAUAAAUGAGUGGCAUUGGUUGAAUAGUAUCACUUUGAGCUCUCUGUGCUGUUUCUUCCAAAUAUACAAAGCCUUAAUUAAAUGAAUUUUUGGCCAUUACAAAUUAGUUCUGAUAAGGGCUCCAAAAACUCAUUGAUUAAACCUUCAUGAAGAAUCAUUGAAAGGCACACUGUCAACGCCAGAAUGGAACACAUUUAGGGUACACAUGAAACAAGGAAUAAUGGUGGGAGAAUAGGGAUAUUAGAACGUUCCUACAGUGUGCAUUUAAAUUAAAAGCAAGCAAGUAACAACAUGCUGAAGGAACCCAGUGGGUCACGCAGCAUCUGUGGGAGGAAUGAAAUUGUUGACAUUUUGGGUCAAAACCCUACAAUAUCACCAAGUGAGCUCCUCCAGCUCUUGUUUCUUUUUCGCUCCAGGUUCCAGCAUCUGCUGUGUCUCGUGUCCCCGCUACACAACGCAAGCAAAAUUGUUUUUCAAGUCAGUUGUGAAGGCAUUAACAAAGAGCCUCAAAGCCUAUUGGUUCCUGUGGCCAGUCACUAUCCAGGGUGGUUGUGGUUCUAUCUAGGUCCUGAUCUGCAAUUGGCACUCAAACUACGUUGUUUUUGACAGUGGAUGAGUUCCCACUCCUGGAACUUGUCGGAUGACUGUUUUCCAACAUUCUCCAGGCGCAGCUUGGAAGAUGGAGCCUCCGGGGUGUAGCCCUGUGGACGACUGAUUCCAGGCCGGUGUUGCCGAAUUGAGGGUUUGCAGGAGAAGGAACAUCAGGAUUUCACUGCGGCUGAUGUAUGGAUAGAAGUCUCCAGCUGAGCAGUCAUAUUCAAAGGUCAAAUUUAACGUCAGAAAUGUAUGCAAUAUACAUCCUGAAAUGGUCUUUUCAUCACAAACAUCCACGAAAACAGAGGAGUGCCCCAGGGAAUGAACGACAGUUAAAUGUGAGAACCUGAAAAUCCCCCCCCCCAACUGCCCCCUCCCACAUGUAAGCGGAGCAACAAUCCCCCUCCCCCCACCAGCAAAAAAAACACACAUCGGUACCGUCACUGAGCCCAAGCGUGUGCUAAGCAAUAGCAAAGACACAGACUAAAGUUACCCCAAAGGCUUUGCCUUUCAUCCGAAAUUCGACAACCCACAGGUUCUCUCUCUCCCUGGCAAGGGAGAGGGAGGUGUCCCUCAUUUUCACUGCGAGUGGGAGAUAUAACAACAACCCGCUGGUUUAUGAUGUUAAAAAUCCGUUUCGUUGCUUUUUCCAAGCUCUGUGUCUGAAGAUCGCAAAGACCUCGGGUCUUCAGGCCUUCAGCAAAAAAUUUUCCAGUCUCCCCGACGACACAUGGGUCUCCUGCCGUGACACCGGCCCUCAAUCUGCCUGUCUCCAGAGCCCGAGAUCUUAGGCUUCCGAACACAAUCGAGAUUCUCAGGCCAAACCCUUGGCAUGUUGAAUAACAGCCAGUAGUGGAACCCCGAGAACAGGUCCCAUUCCCGCAAAGAACCGAAGCCUGCGUGUAACUCCAGAUCAGGGUCUUCAAAAGAACCCUGAAAGGGAAAAAUAAAGAUAUCAAAGGGAGAAAUAGAAGAUGCAAAGGAGUCUCCGUCAGGCGCCAUCAUUCCUCCUAAACUCUGCCUCCAUCACUCUCUCUUUCUCUUGAUGGGGGGAGGUGGGGUGAGUUUGCUGCUGAUUCUCACAUUGGGAAACUCUGAAUAAAAAAAUGGCACAGCAGAUUGUAACAUGAAAUAGCGAUUAAGUUUCCCCUUUUGCUGAAAUGGGUUAUAUCUCUCUGUUCUUUGUCAGUGAAAAAGAGAGGGCCGUUGGCAUGUCAAACUGUCGGGUAAACAAUAGUCUUUUGUUGACUGCAGAUCAUAGUCUCUCUGAGUGCUUUGCUGUUGCUGGGCGGGUGGUGGGCAUUGAUGCUUUUGUGCUGAAAUAGGUGGGGGAGAGGGGAAGGUUGAUGAUUGCUGCUGUUUGAGCGAGGAGGGGUGUUCUAACAUUUUUCUUUCUUUUGGGGUUCUUCUGUUUUUUGUGGAUUUCUGCUAAGACAAGUAUUUCAGAUUGUAUUCUGUGUAUAUUCUCUGAUAAUAAGUGGAACCAUUUGGAAGACCCACUUAGUAGGGUAUAAAAGAUGGGGUACAAUUCUAAGUUCAUAAAGGACUCUGCAUUAAAAUACCUGUCAAAACCCUCCAGCCUAAUCCUUUUUUUAAAAAAUAAAAGGUUCAAGUCAAAAUAUCAUCACAAAUAUGAAGACAUUAAAGACUGGGAAAUGAGCGAAAAAGAUGAAUAAUUGAGGAUUUAGUUGAAAUACUUUGGUCAAAAUUGUUUUUUCCCUCCAAUGGCCAGAAAUUAGAGAGAGAAUCAAUCUACCUUUAUGGAGCACUUUCAUAUCUUCAGAAUAUCCUAAAAUGCUUCCUGAAUGAAUUUACUUAUAAAAGAAAAAUCAUCUUCCACCACAUUGAUGAAGCCUUUGUUAAUGCUUCAUCUGAAAGAAAGCACUUCCAAAUAUGCAGUGCUCGUAUGAUUAGAAGAUGCAUUCAACUUGGAAUGAGGCCUCAAACCACAGAGUCCAACUUCGAGGCAAUUUUAUUACCAACUCAGCUUCUUGUUUUAUUCACUCAGUCACUUUAUUAGUUAUACCUGCUUGGUGAUGCAAAUAUCCCAUCAGCCAAUCAUGUGGCCACAGCUCGAUGCAUAAAAGCAUGUAGACAUAAUCAAGAAGUUGAGUUGUUCAAACCAAAUAUCAGAAUGGGGAAGAAAUGUGACUCAAGUGACACUGAUCAUGGAAUGAUGGUUGGUGACAGACAGGGUGGUUUGAGUAUCUCAGAAAUUGCUGAUCUCCUGGGAUUGACUGAUUUUUUAAAAAAACACAUCCGUUUACAGAAAUAAUGCAUAAAACAAACGAAAAAAUCCAAUGAGCAGCAGUCCUGCGGGUAGAAAUCCCUUGUUAAUGACAGAAGUCAGAGGAGAGUGGCCAGACUGGUUCAAGCCGACAGAAGGCCACAGUAACCACGUGUUAGAAAAGCAGUGGGCAGAGCAGCAUCUCUGAAUGAACAACAAGACGGACCUUGAAGGUGAAGCUUCGAGGAUGUGCACUUUUGGGAUGUAUCCUUGUGGAUGACUGGAUUCCUCACCGAUGUCGCCGACUGAAGCUUGGUGGAAGAUCAAAGCAUCGAGACAGUGGGCAUGGUUGUCAGAGGCCUCUGCACUCGAGCGAUCUCUCCCUUUCCAAUGGUGAGAUAGAGUCUGCUGAUUCUCACCUCAGGGGAACUCAAAUUAGCCAUGCUGCGGACUGCAACAUUGAAAUGGCGAGUUGUUGGUUUCCCCUUUCGCUGUGGUAGGAGUAUCUCCCUCUCUCCCUUAUUAGUUGGGGGGGGGUCCAUUGAUUUUGCAGUGUUGGGAUGGAGUCGAGAUCACAGUCUCUGGGGACGCUGUUGCUUUCAUGGUGGGUGGCAGGGGUGAUGCUUUUUGCUGGAUCGAAUGGUGGGAGGGAGGGUUGAUGUUUUGAUGCUGCCUGUGUGUGGGAGGGGAGAGGGGCCUUGGAGUUCUAACGUUGUCCUGUCAUUCAUUCUUUGGUUUCUUUUUCUCUCUGUUUCGUGGAUGUCUGCAUAGAGUAAGAAUUUCAGGUUAUAUACUAUAUAAAU